rnacentral:rRNA from 1 species
UGGGGAAUAUUGGACAAUGGGCGCAAGCCUGAUCCAGCCAUGCCGCGUGAGUGAUGAAGGCCCUAGGGUUGUAAAGCUCUUUCACCGGUGAAGAUAAUGACAGUAACCGGAGAAGAAGCCCCGGCUAACUUCGUGCCAGCAGCCGCGGUAAUACGAAGGGGGCUAGCGUUGUUCGGAUUUACUGGGCGUAAAGCGCACGUAGGCGGACUAUUAAGUCAGGGGUGAAAUCCCGGGGCUCAACCCCGGAACUGCCUUUGAUACUGGUAGUCUUGAGUUCGAGAGAGGUGAGUGGAAUUCCGAGUGUAGAGGUGAAAUUCGUAGAUAUUCGGAGGAACACCAGUGGCGAAGGCGGCUCACUGGCUCGAUACUGACGCUGAGGUGCGAAAGCGUGGGGAGCAAACAGG